rnacentral:tRNA from 1 species
GGACGGAUGGCCGAGUGGCUUAAGGCACCAGUCUUGAAAACUGAUGUAUGUUAAAUAAGCAUACCAUGGGUUCGAAUCCCAUUCCGUCCG